UUGGCACAAAAAAAGAAAAACUGCACAAAGUGCAGUAAAUAAAACAAAGCGUGAUGAAUCAUUUAAUCGGCAGCAAAAAAAGAUAAAUAAAAUACAUGAAAAUAUUGCAAUGCAGAAGCGCCGCCAGAGCAAAGUCUAUUGAAUUCAAGCCGCAAUGAAAUCGCAGCAAGCUAAUUUAUGGGCAGACACAAAUGUGAAUGCAAACACAUUUGAAUUAUUAAAUGGGAAGUGGCCGCUGCAGACAAUAACCUUCCAGACACAAAGCGUAGAAAAACAAAAUUUUCAAUUGGUGGUUGCCUCACUGGCUGGAAAUCUUGCUGGCUGGUUGGUGUGUAUCUCGACUUGCAACGAGCGCCGCAUACACAGAAUUCGUUGCGGGCUGCACUCGUUUGCUCGACUUCUUCUAUAUACUACAAGUGUGUAGACCACUAAGUUGCUGCUUGCUGCCUUUUGCACUCUAUCUGCCUUGCUAUGUUUUGCGCUUAUUUUUUUCACUCACUUUCUCGUAGUGUGCCACACACACAAAAACUUAUACACACACACACGGAUGUACACUCUUUAACUGUAUAUUUCUAUAUAUAUAACGAGGGCAACAACAUUGCAACGUUUUAUAUGGUCAUUCAACCGGAAGGAUGCUGCAACUCAGCUUUUAUUACGUAUACGCACCCGCCUC